rnacentral:rRNA from 1 species
GACGAACGCUGGCGGCGUGCUUAACACAUGCAAGUCGAACGGAAAGGCCCUGCUUUUGUGGGGUGCUCGAGUGGCGAACGGGUGAGUAACACGUGAGUAACCUGCCCUUGACUUUGGGAUAACUUCAGGAAACUGGGGCUAAUACCGGAUAGGAGCUCCUGCUGCAUGGUGGGGGUUGGAAAGUUUCGGCGGUUGGGGAUGGACUCGCGGCUUAUCAGCUUGUUGGUGGGGUAGUGGCUUACCAAGGCUUUGACGGGUAGCCGGCCUGAGAGGGUGACCGGCCACAUGGGGACGGAGAGACGGCCCAGACGCCGACGGGAGGCAGGAGGGGGGAAUAUGGCACAAGGGGCGGAAGCCGGAGGCAGCAACGCCGCGUGCGGGAGGACGGCCUUCGGGUGGGAAACCGCUUUCGCCUGUGACGAAGCGUGAGGGACGGGAAUGGGGAAAGAAGCACCGGCGAACUACGG